UUCGAGUGGCAAACGGGUGAGUAACGCGUAAGCAACCUGCCCUUCAGGAUGGGGGACAACAGCUGGAAACGGCUGCUAAUACCGAAUACGUCUUUUUGUCGCAUGGCAGAGGGGAANAAAGGGGAGGCUCUUCGGAGCUUUCGCUGGAAGGAGGGGCUUGCGUCUGGAUUAGCUAGUUGGUGGGGUAACGGCCUACCAAGGCGAUGAUCAGUAGCCGGUCUGAGAGGAUGAACGGCCACAUUGGGACUGAGACACGGCCCAGACUCCUACGGGAGGCAGCAGUGGGGAAUCUUCCGCAAUGGGCGAAAGCCUGACGGAGCAAUGCCGCGUGAGUGAUGAAGGAAUUCGUUCCGUAAAGCUCUUUUGUUUAUGACGAAUGUGCAGAUUGUAAAUAAUGAUCUGUAAUGACGGUAGUAAACGAAUAAGCCACGGCUAACUACGUG
rnacentral:rRNA from 1 species